rnacentral:lncRNA from 1 species
GUGACUUCCUCCACGCUCCUGAGAAGCAGCUAGCGCAUGCGCUUCUUCCCUUGCCGCCCUCCUGAAGCGCGGCCCCAGGGAAGAGUGUAGUGUAGAGCGCCGGUAUCUUCUUACGGUUCUCCCGCCUCGCUCCGCCUUCCCCGGCGGCGCUAUGAGAGGUGGGCAGGAAGUCCAGCGGUCGCUUUCCGCGCGGUUGACGCGCUAACAAAGCCGGGGCCGCGGGCCCGCUAGGUGACUUCCGGCCCCGCGGGCAGGUAGGCGGAAGCGCCCGCCGCGGGCAGAGGCACCUGCCGGCCGCUUCGCCUCCCGCGUCCGCUCGGGCCCCGGGCCCCGGGCCCCGGGCCCCCGCCGCACUUCCCCGCGGCCUCCCGGGCGGGUCGCCUGCCCCUUGGCGCGACGGGACGGCCUGACCAGAGCCGUGGACUUGGCCUCGCCUCGCGUAGUGGGCAGCCCAGUGGGCGGUCUCCGGCGUAGCCCUUGCUUCCUGAGGAGUCGGGACUGCGAGGCCGGUAGCCCUGGGCUCGGGCUCGGGCCGAUUGCCUUAUGACUUCUUAUAUAUAAACUCCCCGGGUUUUUCAAGUCUCUCUCAAGAGUAAUGAGAAAAGUCGUUCGUGGUAAGAAGCCCGCCCUGAAGUGUCCUGCAGGGGUGACUACGGUCUCCACCGCCACUCGCAGGGCCUCGGGGGAGAGCGGUCGUCCGAACGGCCAGGCCACCGCCAGCCGCGCACCGGGUUCAGCUGCUGACGCUGGAGCCCAGGGCCCUGUCCCUGACGGCCACUCUGUGGGUUGAAACUGGUCCUGGUGGUUCAGCCCGAGGGGACGCGCAGGAGCGCGGAAGCCAAGUGGUGGGACCGCCGGCUGUUGGGAACCAGGCCAGAGGAGUCCUGAGACCAGACCGGGGGCCUGCUCAGGGUCAGCGGCCGUGUCCACACAAGUACAGAGCCCUUCCUCAGGGCAGCGAACCUGAAAUCCCCUCCGAGAACUCGCAUGCCCUUAUUUAAAUCCAUAGCUUCUAUUUAAUCUUAGUUGCACCUCUUUGAUUCAAAAAGUAAAUUAAUGUGACAUCAGAAAGGCACUGAAGCUAGUGAAUGUGCUCUUCAGUCUUUACUAUUUCAUUUCCAUAAAAGGAAAUCUUAAUGGAGUGAAUUUUAAGGAAAAUUUUCUGUGAGGAAAAGUGUUUAAAAUAGUUACGUCGAUGUUUCAUGUUUAGCUUAAUGAAAAAAAUGUUUCAAACUGCCUAGAGAAACUCCUGGGCUGCUUAGGUGCUCACAAACGAAGACAUAAUAGUACUUAAACAGUUAUAUAAGGAUUUUUAAAACUGCUGAAGUCUUGUAAUCUACAAAAACUUUAGGAGCGUCUUAUAUUCUGCCAUGAACUUUACUAGGUAGUAAGGGUAGGAAAAUGCUGGAACACUGCCUUGACCUCAGCAAGCAUAGGGUUGUCAACAGGAACUCUGCUCCUCCGACUUCUCCAGGAGGGGGGAAUUGAGGGAUAGAGAUGUCAAGUAACAGUCUUCACAGGCUGAGGAGAAACUUGGGAUUGGAACUGGUAGCCUCCUUGUACUGAACUGAACUCUUGGUGCUGCAACAUGCAUUUUAAAAAGACUCCAGGAAAUGUAUUUCAAUGACAAUCAUUGCCUCAGGUGAUAUGAUUAAAAAUUACCAUUUUUAUGUUAAUGUUAUAUCACUAUUAAAUAACAGAGUGGAAAUUUAAACAUAGGCAAGGAACAGUACUCUUAACCAUGGUACUACACUGUUUGCUAUGGAUCAGGCAAAAUCUGGAGGUGUAUUUAGUUCACAGUGGGGAGAAAAUACACUAACGUCCUGUGUGUAAGCUCAAAAUAAAAAUGUAUUCAUGAAUGAGAACUUAACAUUCACACAAAAAUGCACACAAAUAGCAACUCUUAUAAUUGCCAAAAAUCAGAAAUAGUCCAAAUGUCCUUCAAAGAUGAAUGAAUAAAACUGGUACAUUUGUACCAUGGGAUACUGUUCAACAACAAACAGGAAUAACCUGUUUGUAUAUUCAACAAGCUAAAUGAAUCUCAAAGCCAUUAUAUUGAGUGAAAGAAACCAGUCUCAAAAGGUUACAUAAUCUGAUUCCAUAUAUGAUGUCAAUGAAAUAGCAAAACUAUAAUGAAGGAAAACAGACCAGUGGUUGCCAGUGGGUAGUGACAGGGAAAGGUGUAAAUGUAAGGAAUAGGCACAAGAGAGGUUUUGGCAGGUAGUGCAGUUCUGCAUCUUGACUGUGAUACACAUAAAGUGAAUACACAUAACACAUGCAAAAUGAAGAGGGGUGGUCAAUUCUGCCUAGACAUUCCUGUAUCAUUGUGAACGAUUCACUCUGUCUUACCAAUGGGCAUCGUGCAAGGCUCCCUUGCAGCUAGAUAUGGCCUUGUGUUAAUUUUUGGCUAUUAUAUUAUUGGGUGGGUUUUCCAGGAGAUCUCCUAAAAGAAGCAAAUUUGUUAUGUUUUGUUUUUUUUCCCCCCUUUCCUGCUGUGUAGAAUGAAGAUACAAAGAUCAAAAUUUGGGCAUCAUUUUUGUAUGCAGUACUGUCUUCAAGAUGCCAGCUUCAUACCAUGUUAGGAACAGCAAGCAGAUGGGGUCUUCACAGGUUCAGGAGAAGCUUGGGAUUGGAACUGGUAGCCUCCUUGUACUGAACUUCACUCAGUGCUGCCACAUGCUUUUGUUAGAGACUCCAGGAAAUGUAUUUCAAUGAUUGUCAUUGCCUCAGGGGACAAAUACUACCAUUUUUUAUGAACAUCCUCAACAGUUCACCUGAUCAGAAAAAUUAACAUUCUACUUUAACAAUUUGUUUAGUGGCCUAGGGAAGCCACUAAAUUUUGCAGCAAAGGCUUUCAAGCCAUGUUCCAUGAAGCAUUCAGGGUUGGCUUACGUGGAAAGCCUUCUGCCUCCUCUGCAGCCAGAAAGGCUUUGCUUUACCAUGUUUUGGUAUCACUGUUUUUAAAAAUGUGUGUGUGUGUGUGUGUGUAUUUGUAUGUGAGACAGAGAGAGAGGGAAGGGAAAAUAAAUUUCUGUAUGGGAAGAUUCACCCAAGAAAUUUCAUUGCUUGAAGAUGCUUAUGCUAUACAUCAUUAAAGAAAGUAAAUUUUACAAGUUUUCAAAAUAAAAUGGUCAUGACCAUUUUUUUAGAUAUGAAGUAUUGGGACCUCAAUCUCCUUUUUGUGAAUGUAAAGUGAACCCAGAAAUUUUUCCAAGGAAGAUUUGGACAUAUCUCAGAUAUUUCCAUUUUAUUUGUUUGUUUUGAUACCAGGGAUGGAACUCCUGCACUCAAUCACUGAGCCACAUCCCC